UCCAGGGUAGCCUAGUAGAUAUGGCAUCUGCCCGGUAAGCGGAACACUGUGGGUUCGAUUCCCAUCCCUGGAC
rnacentral:tRNA from 1 species